GCCCGAGUGGCGGAACUGGUAGACGCGCUGGAUUCAAAAUCCUGUGUUGGCAACAACGUGCCGGUUCGAUUCCGGCCUCGGGUA
rnacentral:tRNA from 1 species